rnacentral:SRP_RNA from 1 species
GCCAGGCAUGGUGGCGCAUGCCUGUACCUGGGAGGCUGAGGUGGGAGGAUCGUUUGAGCCCAUGAGUUCUGGGCUGUAGUGUGCUAUGCUGAUCAGGUGUCUGCACUAAGUUCAGUAUCAACAUGGUGACCUCCCAGGAGCAGGGGACCACCAGAUUGCCUAAGGAGGGGUGAACAGGCCCAGGUCAAAACUUCUGUGCUGACCAGUAGUGGGAUUGCGCCUGUGAAUAGCCGCUGCACUCCAGCCUGGGCAACAUAGUGAGACCCCAUCUCAA